rnacentral:rRNA from 1 species
CCUACGGGAGGCAGCAGUGAGGAAUAUUGGUCAAUGGACGAGAGUCUGAACCAGCCAAGUAGCGUGAAGGAUGACUGCCCUAUGGGUUGUAAACUUCUUUUAUAUGGGAAUAAAAUGUUCCACGUGUGGGAUUUUGUAUGUACCAUAUGAAUAAGGAUCGGCUAACUCCGUGCCAGCCGCCGCGGUAAUACGGAGGAUCCGAGCGUUAUCCGGAUUUAUUGGGUUUAAAGGGAGCGUAGGUGGAUUGUUAAGUCAGUUGUGAAAGUUUGCGGCUCAAACGUAAAAUUGCAGUUGAAACUGGCAGUCUUGAGUACAGUAGAGGUAGGCGGAAUUCGUGGUGUAGCGGUGAAAUGCUUAGAUAUCACGAAGAACGCCGAUUGCGAAGGCAGCUCACUGGACUGCAACUGACACUGAGGCUCGAAAGUGUGGGUAUCAAACAGGAUUAGAUACCCGAGUAGUC